UGCGUGAGUUCCAAAUAUUUCUAACGGUCGCCCCAGCGUGAGUUUUUUUAUGCACGUGAUGUUAGAACGUUCUCUCCAUUCCAGAAUGUGAUUGUUAUGUAACAGUACAUUUAACCUGCGCUGCCCUCAAACCAAAGCACGCAGCCUGUUUUAUUUGUCAAUUUUAAAUUAUUUUCUAACAAGUUUUUUAUUUUCUAAUAACAGUUUGAAAUGAUGUGUGUUUCGCCUUAUUCAUUCACAUAAAAGUAGUCAUUUUUACUUUUGCGGACCAAUUAAUUUUUGGGACAUUUCUGACCCGGACAAAAUUCCCCAAACACUUCUCAAUUGUUUGUGCAGGACAUUUACUCAUCUGCCGUCCUGCAUACACGUGUUCAUAUUUUCCACCUGUCGCCUGCAUCGAAAUCAAAGUUGUUUUCGUUACCAAUAAUACCUUUGGUAAUGUGUGCGUUUCUAUCAAAGUGCCUUAAUACGUUAUAAUAGUUUCUGCAUGUCGUGUUAUGUCGUUUCUACUGUAACGUCAUGUUUUUAUGUACAUUCCUUAUAACCGCGGACAGGCGAUGUAACGUUACUCAUUUCAUAACAUUUAUGGUGUUAUACUCAAUGCUUAGGUAUCUAGCUACAUUCUCCUAUUAGCUCUGGAAAACAAUGCUAAUUUCGUCAGGGAAGUAUUAGCAUGUGUUGUAUUUCGAAGCUACCCUAGCCUUAUGACUCCCAAGUGGCACAGCGUCUCAGCGCUAGAAGCGUCACUACAGAGACCCAUCUUCAAAUCAAGACUGCGUUUCUAUCAAAGUGGUCCACCUUCCCUGUGGCCAACAUGGUUGCCAAAUGGACAGUGGAGAGGACUUGGACGUCUCGUUUGUCAUGCCACUUUACUGCCAGCUGUUAACAUUUCUUAUUUUGUAUAACGGGUCAUUUAGGAUGGUAGUAGCGUUGAUGAAAUGCAGUCAUAGCAGCAGAACUAGAAAGCAGUCUUUACUGUCACCAGGAAUGUGUACAUUUCACAAAUUGUGGUUGUCCCCCACUCCUGGCUCUCUCUUCUCCUGUAGCUCCAAGGCAUAGUGAUUGGUCUCUACUAUGUCUCCCACCAGCUCCUCUGUCAGAAACAACUUGAAGCACUCUGCCUCAGUUGGAAAUGGCAAGGGGCGUUGCACUCCAGACUGGGACUCGCCAAAGCAAACAGCAGGGCCAGGAGGGGUGAAAUGACUGGUGGCCUUCCAGCUACCACAGAACUGUACUUCAUCCACUGUCAGUCUGCCACCAUCACCACCAGCAUCUUCAAAGGGACCUGGGACUUCGUCAGUGGACAAGGGAAAUUCAGAUUCAGGGUUCUCAGUGGCUACAAGGUUGGGGGGCAGCUCCUCACUCAGUCAGAAUCUGAUUCCUGACUUUCAUACUCUGACUCAUUGUCAGAAUUUAAAAAAAAAUCUCCAUAAUUUCCACAUUUGUUUGUUGUCUCCUUUUGAAAGAUUGCUAAUGCUUCAGCUUAGCUCACUAGCUACAUACAUAAACAACAACACUGAAUGGUUUACAGUGAGAGGGUACGUGGUUGACUGCCGGCACGCGCCACUUGUAUCAAUAAAUCACUAUCAGAAAAUG